AUUGAACGCUGGCGGCAGGCCUAACACAUGCAAGUCGAGCGGAGCGGCGGACGGGUGAGUAAUGCCUAGUAAUCUGCCUGUUAGUGGGGUAUAACGUCCGGGAAAGGGCCCUAAUACAGCAUACUAUCAGAUGAGCCUAGGGCGGAUUAGCUAGUUGGUGGGGUAAAGGCCUACCAAGGCGACGAUCCGUAACUGGUCUGAGAGGAUGAUCAGUCACACUGGAACUGAGACACGGUCCAGACUCCUACGGGAGGCAGCAGUGGGGAAUAUUGGACAAUGGGCGAAAGCCUGAUCCAGCCAUGCCGCGUGUGUGAAGAAGGUCUUCGGAUUGUAAAGCACUUUUGGUAGGGAGGCGGUACCAACAGAAUAAGCACCGGCUAACUACGUGCCAGCAGCCGCGGUAAUAC
rnacentral:rRNA from 1 species